rnacentral:rRNA from 1 species
UGGGGGAUAUUGCACAAUGGGGGGAACCCUGAUGCAGCGACGCCGCGUGAGGGAAGACGGUUUUCGGAUUGUAAACCUCUGUCUUCAGGGACGAAGCAAGUGACGGUACCUGAGGAGGAAGCCACGGCUAACUACGUGCCAGCAGCCGCGGUAAUACGUAGGUGGCAAGCGUUGUCCGGAAUUACUGGGUGUAAAGGGAGCGUAGGCGGGGAUUUAAGUUGGACGUCAAAUCUAUCGGCUCAACCGAUAAUCGCGUUCAAAACUGAAACUCUUGAGUGAAGUAGAGGCAGGCGGAAUUCCUAGUGUAGCGGUGAAAUGCGUAGAUAUUAGGAGGAACACCAGUGGCGAAGGCGGCCUGCUGGGCUUUUACUGACGCUGAGGCUCGAAAGUGUGGGGAGCAAACAGG